rnacentral:antisense_RNA from 1 species
UGUGGGAGCGAGCUUGCUCGCGAAGGCGACAGCACAGUCAGCAUCUCCAUCAACUGAACCACCGCUAUCGCGAGCAAGCUCGCUCCCACA